CAAUAAGAAAUGCUAAGUUCUUAUUUUGAAUAAAAAAAUAUAUUGGACUACCAUUACAUGAUAAUAUUGAUACGAGAAACAACAUAUUAACUUACAAGUACUGUAUGUCAAGCAAACUAUUCCACCGGUUUGCUUGUUUUAUUCUUGUUUCCGUAUAUCAAUCCAGUUUCCUGCGGAUCCGGUAUGGGUUUUCGUUUCUCAACAUAUCUAUAAGGAUCUGCAGCUGCAAGUGCUGCCCUUUGCUCUUGUUCUUUCUUGAGGUCCUGGGAGGGCUUGAUCCAGAGAAAGUAGGCUAGGGUUCCUGCAACAAGCCACGAAGCGAGGUUGCUUCCUCCUCUAAGGCCUCCCAUUGAAUUCCCUAUAAACGUCCUCACAUUUCCCAGUGUUCUUCUCCAAUCACUCGACAUUGCUGCAAAUUUUUCCCCACUUAGUGAUCCUAGAGCUUUGUUCAAUAAUUUCUGGAUUAGGUUUUAUCUACUUCCACCCACAAGGCUUGACCAAAAUCAACAGUUGCGAUUAACGCUAUAUUAGUGCCAAUUUCCGAGGCCGAGUCCUGCGUCACUGAGCGAUUUACACUGGAGCAAUAAC
rnacentral:misc_RNA from 1 species